rnacentral:rRNA from 1 species
AAUCAACGCUGGCGGCGUGCCUAACACAUGCAAGUCGCACGAGAAAGGGAUUUCGGUCCUGAGUAAAGUGGCGCACGGGUGAGUAACACGUGACUAAUCUACCUCCGAGUGGGGAAUAACUGAGGGAAACCUUAGCUAAUACCGCAUAACACUUACGAGUCAAAGCAGCAAUGCGCUUGGAGAGGAGGUCGCGGCAGAUUAGCUAGUUGGCGGGGUAAUGGCCCACCAAGGCGAUGAUCUGUAUCCGGCCUGAGAGGGCGCACGGACACACUGGAACUGAAACACGGUCCAGACUCCUACGGGAGGCAGCAGUGGGGAAUUUGCGCAAUGGGGGAAACCCUGACGCAGCAACGCCGCGUGGAGGAUGAAGUCUCUUGGGACGUAAACUCCUUUCGAUAGGGAAGAUAAUGACGGUACCUAUAGAAGAAGCCCCGGCUAACUUCGUGCCAGCAGCCGCGGUAAU